AGUGAACGCUGGCGGUAGGCCUAACACAUGCAAGUCGAACGGCAGCACAGAGGAGCUUGCUCCUUGGGUGGCGAGUGGCGGACGGGUGAGGAAUACAUCGGAGUCUACUCUGUCGUGGGGGAUAACGUAGGGAAACUUACGCUAAUACCGCAUACGACCUACGGGUGAAAGCAGGGGAUCUUCGGACCUUGCGCGAUUGAAUGAGCCGAUGUCGGAUUAGCUAGUUGGCGGGGUAAAGGCCCACCAAGGCGACGAUCCGUAGCUGGUCUGAGAGGAUGAACAGCCACACUGGAACUGAGACACGGUCCAGACUCAGACGGGAGGCAGCAGUGAGGAAUAUUGGACAAUGGGCGCAAGCCUGAUCCAGCCAUACCGCGUGGGUGAAGAAGGCCUUCGGGUUGUAAAGCCCUUUUGUUGGGAAAGAAAUCCAUCUGGUUAAUACCCGGGUGGGAUGACGGUACCCAAAGAAUAAGCACCGGCUAACUUCGUGCCAGCAGCCGCCGUAA
rnacentral:rRNA from 1 species